UACGAAGGGUGCAAGCGUUACUCGGAAUUACUGGGCGUAAAGCGUGCGUAGGUGGUUUGUUAAGUCUGAUGUGAAAGCCCUGGGCUCAACCUGGGAAUUGCAUUGGAUACUGGCAGGCUAGAGUGCGGUAGAGGGUAGUGGAAUUCCCGGUGUAGCAGUGAAGUGCGUAGAGAUCGGGAGGAACACCAGUGGCGAAGGCGGCGACCUGGGCCAAUACUGACGCUGAGGUGCGAAAGCGUGGGGAGCAAACAGG
rnacentral:rRNA from 1 species